CGGAAGCGAUACCCGGGAAACACCUCCGCAGAGACUCUGGAGGUUGGUAGAGGCUGGAGAGGGGCUGCACAAACGCCGAAUUGAAGAAAGAGAAAAGUAUCAGGACUGAUGCUGUUAUAACUACAUUGAAAGAGAGUUUGCCAUCAAAAUGGUGUUUUUCUAGAGACAAAGAAGCUCUGAACUCCACUUGGAAUGAAAGGAGCCUCAUUAAUACUUGGUCUCCCUGCACUCUCAGUCCAUUUGGAUUCUCAUGAAUAAGGGAGAGAAUUUUAACCAGCUUUGCUGUCCUUCUGCUUAUCUGGUUGUGAGUGAAAAUCCAGAGGAAGAUAGAUGCCAGCUAAGGUUUUGGCAAUGCAAUCCCAUGUAAGUAGGUAAUUCUUUGCACCUCUGUUGCCAUCAGAUGGGAA
rnacentral:lncRNA from 1 species